rnacentral:tRNA from 1 species
GGAUUGUAGCUCAGUGGUAGAGCGCUCACCUAGCAUGCGCGGAGCCCUGGGUUCGAUCCUCAACACCA